rnacentral:rRNA from 1 species
AGUGAACGCUGGCGGUAGGCCUAACACAUGCAAGUCGAACGGCAGCACAGUAAGAGCUUGCUCUUACGGGUGGCGAGUGGCGGACGGGUGAGGAAUACAUCGGAAUCUACUUUUUCGUGGGGGAUAACGUAGGGAAACUUACGCUAAUACCGCAUACGACCUACGGUUGAAAUCAGGGGAUCUCCGGACCUCGCCCAAUUGAUGACGCGGACGUCGGAUUGGUUAUUUGUCGGGGUAAAGGCCCACCAAGCCGACGAUCGGUAGCUGGUCUGAGAGGAUGAUCAGCCACACUGGAACUGAGACACGAUCCAGACUCCUACGGGAGGCAGCAGUGGGGAAUAUUGGACAAGGGGCGCAAGCCUGAUCCAGCCAUACCGCGUGGGUGAAGAAGGCCUUCGGGUUGUAAAGCCCUUUUGUUGGGAAAGAAAAGCAGCAGGUUAAUACCCCGCUGUUCCGACGGUACCCAAAGAAUAAGCACCGGCUAACUUCAUG